GGUGCGGUGCAUGGAGCAAAAUAUCAGGGCUGUUGGAACAACCCAGCGGGAGACGGGGUUUUUUUUCUGUUCCUGUGAAACAGAAUGACUGCGACAAAAUAUUUGCUGGUGCGUGUCCGAGCUGUUGACGUUGGAAUCGAAGUAAUGCCCUUAACUAGUCAGAAAGGGCUAAACGAAUCAACGGACUGGGCCACUUCCAUGGCCUUCUUCUUCUUCUUCUUCUUCUUCUUCUUCUUCUUCUUCUUCGUUACUGUCAUUUCGAGCUGUUAACUGAUGAGCAAAACAGAAAAAACGCCACGCACCGAUGUCUUGACGUCCUGCUCGUUCCCUCUCCCGUCUCCUCGUUUUUUGCGCAUCUCCAUGUCAGUUAGCCCAUUUGCCACAACGCACAUAAACCCCAUACACUCCUGUUGCAACGACUGUCUGAACAACAAUAUUUAACAUAAAACCGUAUAGCAGCUACACAGGUAAGCUGAUCAACAAUAACAUGCACUUUUAUUCUUCUAGCUAGACUUUGUGCGGGAUACUAUAUCGCUCACUUUACCGGCGCACUAAGCGAAUGAGCAGAUCUCAAGCUAUAGACGCCGAAACAAAUUGGAAUAUUAGGUAGAGAGGUGUUUGUACGCGGACCGAUCGCUACGCGUAUCUUCGAAGCGUCACCACGAUGGGGACCGAUGGAAAUGAUCGAGCGUUUAUUAGCUAGAACCCACACUAGGCCGGUUCUAGCAGAUACUAGUUAUCUUUCUCAUAGAGGCAAAACAACAUUUCAGCGCGUCCAGAAACAUCAACAGAGGAGUUGUUCUUAUAAACUUUCAGUGGGCAAACGGAUGCAUUGCGUCAACUGGCGCGUUUCCUAGUUAACUGUACUGAUAGAAGACGAUAAUACGAGUAGCAGUGGUGCAACAGGUGGAAUAUAUAAUCUGAACGCUUGGCUGCUUCGGGUGCUCUAUUUCGUGUCAGAGCGCCGAUCGUUUGAGGUCAGAAAAGCGAACUUGGCGUACACAUUAAAACAAAGAGAAACGGGCCUUCCGUCAAUGGGCUGAAAAAUACCUAACCAACGACUGAACAACCUGCAGAAGAUAAAACAAUAAAAUAAAAUCUCAGCUCCGAGUGUAAUCAUUAAGUUUUAAGGACAACUACUCGAAUUUGUUGAAACUGAAAAAAAUGUUUACAGUGAAAAAUCUGUUCAGGGAG